rnacentral:lncRNA from 1 species
GGUGGUUGAGGAUGACGAGUAUCACGUUAGCUUUAAACUACCAUAGCUGGUUGUCUAGUCCAUUGUUGUGUUUGGGUCUUGUUUGAUUUGAUUUUGAUUGCAUCUCUUUUAACUCUAUUGUAAAUUUGUGUAGUCUACCUCGGUACGCCUUGUGCUGGGGAGACUGAUUGUGUUAAUAUAUUCCAUUUUAGUUUCUUCAAAAAAAAAA